UCUCUUUAACUUUUUAGUCAA
ensembl:piRNA 21ur-2019 ncRNA